UACGAAGGGGGCUAGCGUUGCUCGGAAUCACUGGGUUUAAAGGGUGCGUAGGAGGGCAGGUAAGUCAGUGGUGAAAUCUUCGAGCUUAACUCGGAAACUGCCGUUGAUACUAUCUGUCUUGAAUACCGUGGAGGUGAGCGGAAUAUGUCAUGUAGCGGUGAAAUGCUUAGAUAUGACAUAGAACACCAAUUGCGAAGGCAGCUCGCUACACGAAUAUUGACUCUGAGGCACGAAAGCGUGGGGAUCAAACAGG
rnacentral:rRNA from 1 species